GUAACAAAGGGGUAGCGAAUAGAUGGCAAAGGGGUAGGCUAUUACAUAUAGUUUUGUUAACAUCUAUUUGUUCGAGUUACUAAUCAAACAUCUUCAAUAUUUAUUACUUACUUUCCUUUCUAUUUAACCGGCUAGCGACGCUAGUCGGUUUUAUU
rnacentral:sRNA from 23 species